rnacentral:rRNA from 1 species
ACAAAACGCUGGCGGCGUGCCUAACACAUGCAAGUCUGACGGGAAAGUCUCCUUCGGGAGACGAGUACAGUGGCGGACGGGUGAGUAACGCGUGGGAAUCUACCCGGUAGUGGGGGAUAACCCUUCGAAAGGGGGGCUAAUACCGCAUAAGUCCUACGGGGUAAAGAUGGCCUCUUUACAAUGCUAUCGCUUCCGGAUGAGCCCGCGUCCUAUUAGCUAGUUGGUGAGGUAAUGGCUUACCAAGGCCACGAUGGGUAGCCGGUCUGAGAGGAUGAACGGCCACACUGGGACUGAGACACGGCCCAGACUCCUACGGGAGGCAGCAGUGGGGAAUCUUGCGCAAUGGGGGAAACCCUGACGCAGCAACGCCGCGUGGAUGAUGAAGGCCUUCGGGUCGUAAAGUCCUGUUCUGGGGAAGAACUGUAAGAGGGCUAAUACCCCUCUUACUUGACGGUACCCCAGCAGAAAGCUCCGGCCAAUUAUGUGCCAGCAGCCGCGGUAAAAUCAACGUGUA